GUGAACUGUUGGGCAAUGAAACUAUUUUUAAAAAAAAAAUUUUAAAAUUUUUGUUUUUAGUUUUUUGUAUAAUAAUUUUUGAAAUUUGAUAAAUAUAAUUUUCGGGUUUGGGUUUUCGCGUUUAGAAUCGGGUUUUGGGUUUUUGGUCGGAUUCGGAUUCGGAUUUUCGGUUUCGGAUUUUGGAUUUUUAAUCAGGUUCGGGUUUAGAUAUGGAUUUUUAAAAUUCGUCGGGUUCGAGUUCGGAUUCGGGUUUAGAUUUUGAAUUUGAUAGUCAGAUUCAGAUUUGAAUUUUUAAAAAUCCGUCCCGAAUCCGACCCCUUGACAUCCUAAUCCAUACUACCAAAACGUCUCU
rnacentral:lncRNA from 1 species